rnacentral:rRNA from 1 species
GGGCCCGCACAAGCGGUGGAGUAUGUGGUUUAAUUCGAUGCAACGCGAAGAACCUUACCAGGGUUUGACAUCCUGCGAAUCUCUUGGAAACAGGAGAGUGCCUUCGGGAACGCAGUGACAGGUGGUGCAUGGCUGUCGUCAGCUCGUGUCGUGAGAUGUUGGGUUAAGUCCCGCAACGAGCGCAACCCACGUCUUUAGUUGCCACCAUUCGUUGGGCACUUUAAAAGAACUGCCCAUGAUAAGCUGGAGGGAAAGGUGUGGAUGACGUCAAGUCAUCAUGCCCCUUACAUCCUGGGCUACACACGUACUACAAUGCUACGGACAAAGGGCAGCAAGUUCGCGAGGACAAGC